rnacentral:lncRNA from 1 species
UUGAUGUUAUGGAUGGAAGGUCUGUGUAAUGAGUUAUUACAUGAUGUUAAAGGAUGGAAGGUCUGUGUAAUGAGUUAUUACAUGAUGUUAUGGAUGGAAGGUCUAUGUAAUGAGUUAUUACAUGAUGUUAUGGAUGGAAGGUCUGUAUAAUGAGUUAUUACAUGAUGUUAUGGAUGGAAGGUCUGUGUAAUGAGUUAUUACAUGAUGUUAUGGAUGGAAGGUCUGUGUAAUGAGUUAUUACAUGAUGUUAUGGAUGGAAGGUCUGUGUAAUGAGUUAUUACAUGAUGUUAUAGAUGGAAGGUCUGUGUAAUGAG